rnacentral:rRNA from 1 species
GAUGAACGCUGACAGAAUGCUUAACACAUGCAAGUCCACUUGAACUUCGGUUUGGGUGGCGGACGGGUGAGUAACGCGUAAAGAACUUGCCUCACAGCUAGGGACAACAUUUGGAAACGAAUGCUAAUACCUGAUAUUAUGAUUAUAUGGCAUCGUAUAAUUAUGAAAGCUAUAUGCGCUGUGAGAGAGCUUUGCGUCCCAUUAGCUAGUUGGAGAGGUAACAGCUCACCAAGGCGAUGAUGGGUAGCCGGCCUGAGAGGGUGAUAGGCCACAAGGGGACUGAGACACGGCCCUUACUCCUACGGGAGGCAGCAGUGGGGAAUAUUGGACAAUGGACCGAGAGUCUGAUCCAGCAAUUCUGUGUGCACGAUGAAGUUUUUCGGAAUGUAAAGUGCUUUCAGUUGGGAAGAAAAAAAUGACGGUACCAACAGAAGAAGUGACGGCUAAAUACGUG